rnacentral:rRNA from 1 species
UACACUCCUGCGGGAGGCAGCAGUGGGGAAUUUUGGACAAUGGGCGAAAGCCUGAUCCAGCAAUGCCGCGUGUGUGAAGAAGGCCUUCGGGUUGUAAAGCACUUUUGUCCGGAAAGAAAUCCUUGGCUCUAAUACAGUCGAGGGAUGACGGUACCGGAAGAAUAAGCACCGGCUAACUACGUGCCAGCAGCCGCGGUAAUACGUAGGGUGCGAGCGUUAAUCGGAAUUACUGGGCGUAAAGCGUGCGCAGGCGGUUUGCUAAGACCGAUGUGAAAUCCCCGGGCUCAACCUGGGAACUGCAUUGGUGACUGGCAGGCUAGAGUAUGGCAGAGGGGGGUAGAAUUCCACGUGUAGCAGUGAAAUGCGUAGAGAUGUGGAGGAAUACCGAUGGCGAAGGCAGCCCCCUGGGCCAAUACUGACGCUCAUGCACGAAAGCGUGGGGAGCAAACAGGAUUAGAAACCCGAGUAGUCCCAUGAU